GGGCUUCGUGGUGCAGUGGUUAGCAUGCUCAGCUCACAGCCGAGAGAGUUUUAUGACCCUGGUGGUAGUGUGACCCUUCUUCUGUACCAUGAACCUCAAGAAACACUUAUUAGAACCCAGAGAGCCUGAGUUCGAUUCCCCGGCAGAGUGGAAAAAUUUGGGCGGCUUUUCCGAUACCCUACGCCCCUGUCCACCCAGCAGUGUACCAGGCAUUAAUGGGGGGUUGUGUCCCGUCUCCUGGGGUCUGUUCCCUUCUCCUAUAAUUCCUUCCCCUUCUGUCUCUCUCCAGCAUAUGACCACAGAUGUUGCGCCCACUAAGCAAAACUUUCCAACUGUUCCCUUCUCCUAGAAUUCCUUCCCCUUCUGUGUCUCUCCGGCAUGUGACCACAGAUGUUGCGCCCACUAAGCAAAACUUUCCAACUGUUCCCUUCUCCUAUAAUUCCUUCCCCUUCUGUCUCUUUCCAGCAUAUGGCCACAGAUGUUGCGCCCACUAAGCAAAACUUUCCAACUGUCCCCUUCUCCUAUAAUUCCUUCCCCUUCUGUCUCUCUCCAGCAUAUGGCCACAGAUGUUGUGCCCACUAAGCAAAACUUUCCAACUGUUCCCUUCUCCUAGAAUUCCUUCCCCUUCUGUGUCUCUCCGGCAUGUGACCACAGAUGUUGCACCCACUAAACAAAACUUUCCAACCCUUUCCUCAUCAAACUUAUUUACCAACUUGUACAGUGCAAUCAAAUCUCCUCUCUCCCUUCUUUGUUCCAGUGUCGUCAAGUCCAUCUCCCUCAAUCUGUCUUCAUACGUCAUAUUCGAGAGUUCUGGGACCAUUUUGUUGCAAUUCUCUGUCUUGAGUCCAACAUCAUAAUCUUCCUUUGUAUAGUUUUUCAUUUUUUCCUUAUAUGCCUCAUCUUGGUAUUCAAAUCCUUCCAUAGUUUUCAUCUGUCAUAGUUGAUGCCAUUCUUUCCUAAGGGGCACUCGUGACUGACUCCUUCAUCUAACUCAACAUUUUUUGUGAAAAUUAGGUCAAGUCUUGAUGGUUGGUCAUCUCCUCUUAGCCUUGUUUCUCCUUUAACCCACUGCAUCAACAGAUUAUCACAUCAGGUGUGUGUGUGUGUGUGUGUGUGUGUUUAGCUAGUUGUUGUAUUUACCUAGUUGUAGUUUUAUAGGGCCUGGGCUUGACGUUCGUGUGGUCCCGUCUCUGUAUCUACAUUUAUCCAACUUUUCCUUGAAGCUUUGCACACUCCUUUCUGAUACUACAUCCUCACUUAGUCUGUUCCAAACCUCUGUACUUCUUUGCGGGAAGCUAUAUUUCUUUAUGUCUCUCAAGCAUCUUCCCUUCCUCAAUUUUUGACUGUGUCCUCUUGUGUUCCUGGUGGUAAUUUCUUCUUUUAGUGGUAACUCCUCAUUGUCUACUUCUUCCAUUUUGCUCAAUAAUUUGUAGAUUUGUAUUAGGUCUCCCGUUUCUCUUCUUUGUUCUAGUGUUGGUAAGUCCAUUUCCUUUAGUCUCUCCUCGUAUGUCAAUCCCUGGAACCAUUUUUGUUGCCAUCUUUUGUAUUCUUUCCAGUUUCUUGAUGUGUUUCUUCUUAUGGGGAGACCACACUGCCUCUGCAUGUGUGUGUGUGUGUGUGUGUGUGUGUAAGAUUGACUGACUGAUGAAUGAAUGACUGUGAGAUUAAGGCUGGUAUUACAAGACACUUUCCCUGCUCACAUCAGCUACUUCUAAAGGUCAAAGGGGGAUAUCAGUCAGGUUCUAAUGAGUGUUUUUCAGGCUCAUGGUACAGAAGAAGGGUUAAACUACCACCAGGGUCAUAAAACCACCCCUGGAAAUGCCCACAACUCCUGCGAAAGCCUUGUCAAAUAUGUGUUCUUGGGCGGCUAAAUGUCUAAUAAUGCGACCCUAAGUAAAUAACUUCCUGAUGGAGUGGAUGAUUGACUUGGCAUCUUGUAGCUUUACUCUCAGCCAUUUCAAGUUCCCGACUGAUGUACUAACACCCUCAGAUUGGCUACAGUGAAGGUCGUGGCAGAGAGUGUACUCAAACUCCUACUGUGAGCUACUUCUGCUGCCUGCGCCCUCACCACCCCUGUGAAGGACGCCCAGCUGACCCAACCCUCCUCGUGUGCCCCUGAGAGCUCCCUGCAGCACAGCGAGGCUCUUCUUGGACGGGUCAGAGGCACAGAAGAUGUAGCCAGACUUGCCGGCCAAACCCGAGGGUGUGUGUUGAUGUUGGGACCAAGAAGAAGAAGAGGAGGAAAAGGAGGAAGAUGAUGAUAAAGGCAACAGGAAGAUCAGAAGAAGAGGAGGAAGAAUGGAAGAAGAGAACACACACACACAUAUAUAUGACAAACACCUUUUUCUAUAUUUUUCAUUUUUAUUAGUCCAUACAACAUACAUUAGCUAUAUACAUAUAAUACAACAUAUGCAUAAUUAUAUACAUUAGACCGUAGAGUGAGUGAGUGAGAGACUCGAGAGGCGAGAUAGAGGCUCUCUCUCUCUCUCUCUCUCUCUCUCUCUCUCUCUCUCUCUCUCUCUCUCUCACCACAGCUCACAGGACCCUACAGAUGUACCUCCCACAGUAUGUUGACAACUGCCCACAGACACAUAUCCCCCCAGCCUCAUGAAGGACCCCCUUCUCCUUCCCUCCCCCCCUAGCCAACAUAGCACCCACAUAGCCUUAUCAAAGUUACUAUGUAUAUGUAUGUAUGUGUGUUUUUCUAUUAAUGAAAAGUUAAUUUGUAAUGUUUGUGUGUUCUAUUCCUAUGAGAGAGAGAGGAAGAGAGGAAAAGGUAAAGAGGGAGAGAGAGAGA